rnacentral:rRNA from 1 species
AGUGAACGCUGGCGGUAGGCCUAACACAUGCAAGUCGAACGGCAGCACAGUAAGAGCUUGCUCUUACGGGUGGCGAGUGGCGGACGGGUGAGGAAUACAUCGGAAUCUACUUUUUCGUGGGGGAUAACGUAGGGAAACUUACGCUAAUACCGCAUACGACCUACGGGUGAAAGCAGGGGAUCUUCGGACCUUGCGCGAUUGAAUGAGCCGAUGUCGGAUUAGCUAGUUGGCGGGGUAAAGGCCCACCAAGGCGACGAUCCGUAGCUGGUCUGAGAGGAUGAUCAGCCACACUGGAACUGAGACACGGUCCAGACUCCUACGGGAGGCAGCAGUGGGGAAUAUUGGACAAUGGGCGCAGGCCUGAUCCAGCCAUACCGCGUGGGUGAAGAAGGCCUUCGGGUUGUAAGGCCCUUUUGUUGGGAAAGAAAAGCAGCAGGUUAAUACCCCGCUGUUCUGACGGUACCCAAAGAAUAAGCACCGGCUAACUUCGUG